rnacentral:rRNA from 1 species
GGUUAAGCGACUAAGCGUACACGGUGGAUGCCCUGGCAGUCAGAGGCGAUGAAGGACGUGCUAAUCUGCGAUAAGCGUCGGUAAGGUGAUAUGAACCGUUAUAACCGGCGAUUUCCGAAUGGGGAAACCCAGUGUGUUUCGACACACUAUCAUUAACUGAAUCCAUAGGUUAAUGAGGCGAACCGGGGGAACUGAAACAUCUAAGUACCCCGAGGAAAAGAAAUCAACCGAGAUUCCCCCAGUAGCGGCGAGCGAACGGGGAGCAGCCCAGAGCCUGAAUCAGUGUGUGUGUUAGUGGAAGCGUCUGGAAAGGCGCGCGAUACAGGGUGACAGCCCCGUACACAAAAAUGCACAUGCUGUGAGCUCGAUGAGUAGGGCGGGACACGUGGUAUCCUGUCUGAAUAUGGGGGGACCAUCCUCCAAGGCUAAAUACUCCUGACUGACCGAUAGUGAACCAGUACCGUGAGGGAAAGGCGAAAAGAACCCCGGCGAGGGGAGUGAAAAAGAACCUGAAACCGUGUACGUACAAGCAGUGGGAGCCUCUCUUUAUGGGGGGUGACUGCGUACCUUUUGUAUAAUGGGUCAGCGACUUAUAUUCUGUAGCAAGGUUAACCGAAUAGGGGAGCCGAAGGGAAACCGAGUCUUAACUGGGCGUUAAGUUGCAGGGUAUAGACCCGAAACCCGGUGAUCUAGCCAUGGGCAGGUUGAAGGUUGGGUAACACUAACUGGAGGACCGAACCGACUAAUGUUGAAAAAUUAGCGGAUGACUUGUGGCUGGGGGUGAAAGGCCAAUCAAACCGGGAGAUAGCUGGUUCUCCCCGAAAGCUAUUUAGGUAGCGCCUCGUGAAUUCAUCUCCGGGGGUAGAGCACUGUUUCGGCAAGGGGGUCAUCCCGACUUACCAACCCGAUGCAAACUGCGAAUACCGGAGAAUGUUAUCACGGGAGACACACGGCGGGUGCUAACGUCCGUCGUGAAGAGGGAAACAACCCAGACCGCCAGCUAAGGUCCCAAAGUCAUGGUUAAGUGGGAAACGAUGUGGGAAGGCCCAGACAGCCAGGAUGUUGGCUUAGAAGCAGCCAUCAUUUAAAGAAAGCGUAAUAGCUCACUGGUCGAGUCGGCCUGCGCGGAAGAUGUAACGGGGCUAAACCAUGCACCGAAGCUGCGGCAGCGACGCUUAUGCGUUGUUGGGUAGGGGAGCGUUCUGUAAGCCUGUGAAGGUGUGCUGUGAGGCAUGCUGGAGGUAUCAGAAGUGCGAAUGCUGACAUAAGUAACGAUAAAGCGGGUGAAAAGCCCGCUCGCCGGAAGACCAAGGGUUCCUGUCCAACGUUAAUCGGGGCAGGGUGAGUCGACCCCUAAGGCGAGGCCGAAAGGCGUAGUCGAUGGGAAACAGGUUAAUAUUCCUGUACUUGGUGUUACUGCGAAGGGGGGACGGAGAAGGCUAUGUUGGCCGGGCGACGGUUGUCCCGGUUUAAGCGUGUAGGCUGGUUUUCCAGGCAAAUCCGGAAAAUCAAGGCUGAGGCGUGAUGACGAGGCACUACGGUGCUGAAGCAACAAAUGCCCUGCUUCCAGGAAAAGCCUCUAAGCAUCAGGUAACAUCAAAUCGUACCCCAAACCGACACAGGUGGUCAGGUAGAGAAUACCAAGGCGCUUGAGAGAACUCGGGUGAAGGAACUAGGCAAAAUGGUGCCGUAACUUCGGGAGAAGGCACGCUGAUAUGUAGGUGAAGUCCCUCGCGGAUGGAGCUGAAAUCAGUCGAAGAUACCAGCUGGCUGCAACUGUUUAUUAAAAACACAGCACUGUGCAAACACGAAAGUGGACGUAUACGGUGUGACGCCUGCCCGGUGCCGGAAGGUUAAUUGAUGGGGUUAGCGCAAGCGAAGCUCUUGAUCGAAGCCCCGGUAAACGGCGGCCGUAACUAUAACGGUCCUAAGGUAGCGAAAUUCCUUGUCGGGUAAGUUCCGACCUGCACGAAUGGCGUAAUGAUGGCCAGGCUGUCUCCACCCGAGACUCAGUGAAAUUGAACUCGCUGUGAAGAUGCAGUGUACCCGCGGCAAGACGGAAAGACCCCGUGAACCUUUACUAUAGCUUGACACUGAACAUUGAGCCUUGAUGUGUAGGAUAGGUGGGAGGCUUUGAAGUGUGGACGCCAGUCUGCAUGGAGCCGACCUUGAAAUACCACCCUUUAAUGUUUGAUGUUCUAACGUGGACCCGUGAUCCGGGUUGCGGACAGUGUCUGGUGGGUAGUUUGACUGGGGCGGUCUCCUCCUAAAGAGUAACGGAGGAGCACGAAGGUUGGCUAAUCCUGGUCGGACAUCAGGAGGUUAGUGCAAUGGCAUAAGCCAGCUUGACUGCGAGCGUGACGGCGCGAGCAGGUGCGAAAGCAGGUCAUAGUGAUCCGGUGGUUCUGAAUGGAAGGGCCAUCGCUCAACGGAUAAAAGGUACUCCGGGGAUAACAGGCUGAUACCGCCCAAGAGUUCAUAUCGACGGCGGUGUUUGGCACCUCGAUGUCGGCUCAUCACAUCCUGGGGCUGAAGUAGGUCCCAAGGGUAUGGCUGUUCGCCAUUUAAAGUGGUACGCGAGCUGGGUUUAGAACGUCGUGAGACAGUUCGGUCCCUAUCUGCCGUGGGCGCUGGAGAACUGAGGGGGGCUGCUCCUAGUACGAGAGGACCGGAGUGGACGCAUCACUGGUGUUCGGGUUGUCAUGCCAAUGGCACUGCCCGGUAGCUAAAUGCGGAAGAGAUAAGUGCUGAAAGCAUCUAAGCACGAAACUUGCCCCGAGAUGAGUUCUCCCUGACUCCUUGAGAGUCCUGAAGGAACGUUGAAGACGACGACGUUGAUAGGCCGGGUGUGUAAGCGCAGCGAUGCGUUGAGCUAACCGGUACUAAUGAACCGUGAGGCUUAACCUU